AAAAUACUCCCUCCGUUCCGAAUUACUUGUCUCGGGUAUGGAUGUAUCUAGAUGUAUUUUAGUUCUAGAUACAUCCAUUUCUGCGACAAGUAAUUUGGAACGGAGGGAGUAUAAG
rfam:Triticum urartu cultivar G1812 contig420017, whole genome shotgun sequence.